UAAUUAUCGUGCUACGAUAUUUAUUUUCGUUUCUUAACCACCUGAGUGAUUACGCCGACGAAAAUAUGAUGGAUGCUAAUAAUUUAGCUGUUUGUUUUGGACCAUCCAUCAUAAAUAUUCCAGAUAAUUACGAUCCCGUUAUUAGUCAAAAUUGUAUAAAUAUUGUUAUUAAAUAUAUUAUUAUUUAUGCCGAAGAAAUAUUCCCUGAAAAAUUAGACGGGAUAAAAUAUGAGAAACAUUUUACAGAAGAUUUAGACGAUGUAGAAACUGAAGAAUCUACAUUAGGCACAGAAGAACCGGAUAGUAGUAACUAUUCGGAAGAGGAAAUUGAUGUGUCUAUUGAAGAACUUAUAAACUAUCAAAAAUUUCACUCAAUUAGAUCUAAGAUCGUCUAAAUCUUCAAGUGACUUACCGCAGCCUGAACCAUGUUGCAGUAAAGA